rnacentral:rRNA from 1 species
GACGGUCUUGCUGUCACUUAUAGAUGGAUCCGCGCUGCAUUAGCUAGUUGGUAAGGUAACGGCUUACCAAGGCAACGAUGCAUAGCCGACCUGAGAGGGUGAUCGGCCACACUGGAACUGAGACACGGUCCAGACUCCUACGGGAGGCAGCAGUAGGGAAUCUUCCGCAAUGGGCGAAAGCCUGACGGAGCAACGCCGCGUGAGUGAUGAAGGUCUUCGGAUCGUAAAACUCUGUUAUUAGGGAAGAACAUAUGUGUAAGUAACUGUGCACAUCUUGACGGUACCUAAUCAGAAAGCCACGGCUAACUACGUGCCAGCAGCCGCGGUAAUACGUAGGUGGCAAGCGUUAUCCGGAAUUAUUGGGCGUAAAGCGCGCGUAGGCGGUUUUUUAAGUCUGAUGUGAAAGCCCACGGCUCAACCGUGGAGGGUCAUUGGAAACUGGAAAACUUGAGUGCAGAAGAGGAAAGUGGAAUUCCAUGUGUAGCGGUGAAAUGCGCAGAGAUAUGGAGGAACACCAGUGGCGAAGGCGACUUUCUGGUCUGUA